rnacentral:miRNA from 1 species
GGAAGAUUGCUUGAGCUCAGGAGGUGGAAGCUGCAGUGAAUUCUGAUCAUGCCACUGCACUCCAGCCUGAGUGACAGAGCAAGGCCCUGUCUCA